rnacentral:snoRNA from 1 species
CAUAAUGAUGAUACGUUAUUCACACUGUUUGAUCUGGUUUCGGCCAGAAAUGAACACAUCUAUACCAAAUCUGAUUUAAUGAGGUUGGUU